rnacentral:rRNA from 1 species
GUGAGGAAUUUUCCGCAAUGGGCGAAAGCCUGACGGAGCAAAGCCGCGUGAAGGAUGAAGGCCUAUGGGUUGUAAACUUCUUUUCUCAGAAAAGAAUUAUGACGGUAUCUGAGGAAUAAGCAUCGGCUAACUCUGUGCCAGCAGCCGCGGUAAGACAGAGGAUGCAAGCGUUAUCCGGAAUGAUUGGGCGUAAAGCGUCUGUAGGUUGUUUAAAAAGUAUUCUGUCAAAGAUUAGGGCUUAACCCUAGAUAGGCAGAAUAAACUUUUAAGCUAGAGUUUGGUAGAGGCAGAUGGAAUUCCCGGUGGAGCGGUGAAAUGCGUAGAUAUCGGGAGGAACACCAAAGGCGAAGGCACUCUGCUGGGCCAAUACUAACACUGAGAGACGAAAGCGAGGGGAGCAAAUGGGAUUAGAUACCCGGGUAGUCC